CAGUGAUGAUAGUUGCUCUUCUGCACUUUUACUGCAGCAGCAGCAGCAGCAAGGAGGCAAACACAUCCAUUAAGACAUACCUGUGUCUUGUGGCCUGACAGGAAGUCUGCUCUGACUAGCUGGAAGAAUCUCUAGUUUGACAAUGUCUGAGGUGCUGGCCAGUAGCUGCGUGGCCUCCAUCAGGGAGCAGUGUUCUGUGCUCGUCCCGUCUAUGGACAGGAGGAUGUCACCUGCAUGCAGCGCUCCACACCUGGGAGAAUGAGACAUAGUCAGGCUGGCAGGACCCCCUGGUCUGACGUGGGUAACCACCAGAGGACGAGACCUGCGCCAGUCUUCAUGGAAGCCUCCUAAAAACACCAGAACGCAGAGAUAAAUCAGUGUCAAAAGCUGAGGUUAACUAUUCCUGCCGAAUGGUUCAUAAAAAAACAUCACCCAUCCACCUACCUCUCAUGACAAACCCAAAGCUGUUCCCCUCCUUGUGUAAACACACCUCUAUGGUUUUGGUUAUGACUCCUGAGGGGGUCUGGACUAAGAGUAGAGAGAAAAUGACAAAUUAUUACCGUAAUCUUGUAAAGCUACACAUAAAAUGAAGUGUUAGAAACGUGUUUAAUUAAUCCUAGUGGAGAAAUAAAUUCUCAGUGUUUGAUCCGUGUCAACAAUUUACGAGCAGUGGAGAGCCGCAGGGGGCCAACGCUGUUUCUGAGGCCAGUGCCUUGAUUAGAGAAACACGAUAAGUAUUGAUUUGGUGAUUUGCAGGUCAAAAGAUUUCUAGAUGUCGAGGUUAAAAUGGGACUAAAUAUGGCUGACAAUUUUGAAGAUGUCUAGGUUAUAUCUGUGGUUUUAACACAACUGGAAUGACUAUUUUUCAACGUGAAGCAGGUGUGCUUCAAAAAUACAUACAUGAAAAUGAAAUGACUGUCUUUUGUAACCUAGAUGUCUAAAAAGAAACUUUUCAACCGAAUUUGAACAUUAAGAAACAUAUAGAUACACUGUUGUUUGA